AUGUCGCUACGCCAGCGAGGAGCGUGGAGUUGCCGCCUGGGUCACCGAGCAUCACGACGGGUCCAACAAGGGUCGCUCGCCGAGGAUCUCGAUGGAGGCAGCGGCGGCGGAGCGCACCUCCUCGCGCGCCUCGUCGGUGGCGUCACCUACGCAGCUCGCCUCUACCUUGUCUCCGCCGCCGCCCGCCUCGCUUCUGCCCUCGCCCACCUAGACGCCGGCGCAACCCGCCUCGCCGCCGAAAUUGAAAGCGGCACAACUAGGUCAACAUACUCCGAGCCUGGAAGGCAUCCAACCCCCCACUGGAAGCGGCAGCCAGGGGUCGCCGUCCUCCUCGAGGCUCAGGCCAUCGACAUCCAGAUCUCGUCUCCGCUCUCCGCUCACCGGCCGGCCGGCCGACUGCCGUGGGGUACUGCACAUAGUACAUACCUGCAGAUGGACGACAAAAUCAGUACUAGACACAAUGCUCUGGAGCGCAUGCUAAUUGAUGAAAAUGCGGAGCCAACAAAUCUGCCGCUAUCACUUCUAGAAGAUAUCACAAAAUGUUUCUCUGACGAUCAUCAAAUCGGCGUCGGUGGGUUUGCGGUGGUUUAUAAGGGAAUGGUUGGAAAUGAGGCAGUCGCUGUGAAGAGGCUAUCCACGACAUUUGAUAUGCAGGAGAAUAAAUUUCACAAAGAGGUUGAAUGCUUGAUGAAGGCCAAGCACAAAAACAUAGUGCGUUUUCUCGGAUAUUGUUCUGACACACAAGGGAAAAUUGUAGACUAUGAGGGGAAGAUGGUCAUGGCGGAUAUACGAAAUUGGUUGCUCUGUUUUGAGUAUGUACCCAGCGGAAGUCUUGAUAAAUACAUUACCGAUGCAUCUCAUGGACUUGGAUGGAAGGAACGUUAUCAGAUAAUUAAGGGAAUAUGUGAGGGUCUAUGUCAUCUUCAUGAGAAGCGCAUUCUGCACUUAGAUCUGAAACCCGCCAAUAUUCUAAUAGAUGAUCAUAUGGUACCCAAAAUUGCUGAUUUUGGUCUUUCAAGGUGCCUCGACAAAGAGCAAACCCGGGCUAUUACUUCAAACCUUUGUGGAUCAUUGGGAUAUUUGGCACCCGAAUUCUACAGUGGACAUGUCUCAUUCGCGUCGGACAUAUAUAGUCUUGGCGUUAUAAUCGUGGAGAUAUUGACAGGACAAAAGGGUUAUUCUGAAGAUGAUAAUGUAAUUGAUAGUUGGAUGAUUCAAUUGGAGACAUCAGAUCAGGCGGACACUCUGUUGGAACAAGUAAAAGUAUGCACAAAAAUAGGGAUAGAGUGCAUGGACCCGAACCCAAAGAAGAGACCUGCCGCUAGGCACAUACUCGAUAUGAUUGAUAAAACGGAAAGUGCCGCAUAUUCAGAAGAAACUGCCAUCAGCUUCCCAGCAAAGAAAAGAAAAAAAGAAACCGCCAUCAGCAGUUCAUCAUCACAUAAUCCCCGGGUGGCUGAUGCAGGCGUGUGGGACCGUGUUAGCGGCCCGGCGUGUUCGGACGCCGAAUUCCAGCGGGCCUUCCACAUGUCGCGCGCCACGUUGCACUCGCUCUGCCAUGAGCUCGUCAUCGCCAUCGCCAAGGACACCACCUUGUGUGCUGCCAUACCCGUGCACCAGCACGUCGGCGGGGACGCAGCGCCGGCAGCAAUGAACGGACGCCGGGUGUGGGUGCGGGAGCGGAGCACGGAGUGGUGGGACCGCCUCAGCGGCCUGGCAUGCCCGGACGCCGAGUUCCGGCAGGCCUUCCGCAUGUCGCGUGCCACGUUCGAUGCGAUCUGCGACGAGCUUGGCGCCGCCAUCGCCAAGGAGGACACCGCCCUGCGCGCUGCCAUACCCGCGCAGCAGCGCUUCGCCGUCUGCGUGUGGCGCCUCGCUACCGGGGAGCCCCUCCGUGAGGUGUCCCGCCGUUUUGGCCUAGGCAUCUCCACCUGCUACAACAUCGUUCUCCAGGUCUGCGCCGCCCUCACCGGUGUCCUCAUGCCCAAGGCCAUCCGCUUGCCCCUGGACUCCCCUGAAGUCACCGCCUCCAGGUUUGAGGCCCUGUCCUGGAUCCCCGGCAUCGUUGGCGCUGUGUGCACUGACCACAUCCCCAUUGGCCCACCCAAGGAGAAUGUUGCCGAGUACUACAACCGCUGCCUCACGGAGCGCAUGAACAAGGCAUCCUAUUCUGUCGCCUUGCAGGCCGUCGUGGACGCUGACGGCACUUUCACAGACGUCUGCAUCGGCCUCCCAGGCUCACUGUCCGAUACAGCUGUGUUUGAGCAGUCGGCGCUGCACGCCCGCUGCGAGGCUGGGUUGUUUGGAGACAACCAGUACUGGCUGGUUGGCGGCCCAAGGUACCCGCUCAAGGACUGGAUGCUCGUGCCAUAUGCGUACCAGAACCUGACGUGGGCGCCUUCAACGAGCGUGUCGCGGUUGCGCACGGAGCUGCGUGGGGCGCGUUACAGAGGCUCAAGGCACGGUGGCGCAUCCUGCAGCGCCGCACCGAGCCCAAGCUGCCAGACCUUCACAACAUGAUUGGUGCCUGCUGCGUGCUGCACAACUUCUGUGAACGCAGGGGCGAGGGGCUCGACGUGGACCUCCAGUCUGGGCUCUCCUGGGACAAAGCCGACGUGCUCGCAGUUCUAAAGGCUGGAAAGGAGCGGGACAGGAUCGUACACAAGUAACACAACACCUAUUCUAAUAAAUAAAAAGGAUGACGCACGUCCUCGUCCAUGGCGGCAUUAAGUUUGAGAAGUGAUGAGCUACUGACGGCUGUGAGGCUCUUUUUUCCCCCUCACCAAAAAUAGCAAAAACUGAAGAAAUAUAUGCUAGUGGAAUAAGUUGCUAUUAAACUGCCAGGGUGGAAGUGUACCACAUGCUACCCCUGGACUUGUUACCCCCCUGGUUCUUCAGUUGCCUUGGUAAAAUCUCAACUUUCUUUGGCUGGGCCACGGCGCGACCCUUGGGAAAACGUUGUAAGCCAUGGACAGGACUGAAGGUUCACAUAUUUUCUAAGGUUCUUCGUUUUGCUCUCUGUUUCUGGGCUGUUUUAUCUUUGGUCCAGUCUUGUUUCCCUUAUGCUCUAUAUUAGUUUUUUUUGCGGCAAUACUCUAUAUUACUUGAUGUAAUGGUGUCUCUGUUAAUUACCUGGAGUUAGGCGUUUCUAUGUUGGUUAGACCUUUGGAUGACCUGACCGGAGAGGGGUUGCGUGCGUCCUCGCUCUCCAGGCCACGGCCUUAUGUAGCGUUUGUCUACAGGUAGUAAUGCUUGUCUGAGCUAUUUUA